UUUUUGGAUNACUGGGCGCACUUGUAAGUGCUAGUCCGUCGAGAGAAACCAACUUCGGUUCUGUUUUUUAUUGGCGGAGGGGGGCACUCACGCUUAAGAACCUACCGCUUGGAGAGGGAUAGCCACUGGAAACGGUGAUUAAUACCUCGUAUGCUGAGGAGUGAAAGACCGUAAGGUCGCCAAGGGAUGGGCUUGCGUCUGAUUAGCUAGUUGGGUGGGGUAAAGGCCUCCCAAGGCGAUGAUCAGUAGCUGGUCUGAGAGGACAAUCAGCCACACUGGGACUGAGACACGGCCCAGACUCCUACGGGAGGCAGCAGUGAGGAAUUUUCCGCAAUGGGCGAAAGCCUGACGGAGCAAUGCCGCGUGGAGGAGGAAGGCCUGUGGGUCGUAAACUCCUUUUCUCAGAGAAGAAGUUCUGACGGUAUCUGAGGAAUAAGCAUCGGCUAACUCUGUGCCAGCAGCCGCGGUAAUACAGGGGAUGCAAGCGUUAUCCGGAAUUAUUGGGCGUAAAGCGUCCUGAGGUGGCUUACCCAGUCGACUGUGAAAGCUCAAGGCUUAACUCUUGAACGGCAGUCGAAACUUGUAAGCUUGAGUACGGUAGGGGCAGAGGGAAUUCCCGGAGGAGAGGUGAAAUUCGUAGAUAUCGGGAGGAGGCAAAAGGCGAAGCCUCUGCUGGGCCGAUACUGCACUGACAGACGAAGCUAGGGGACGAAGGGAUAGAUACCCUGUGGUCUAGCCGUAA
rnacentral:rRNA from 1 species